ensembl:lincRNA
CGCCGAAUAAAACAGGAGAGACACCUUCCCAUUCAAUGACAAUAUGAAGAAACUCCACACACAAAAACGCUGAAAAAGGUUUACCAAUACCACCAACACGAGAGCGAAAAAUACUCAGAUAACAAAUCCACUUCUGUUUCUAAACUGGAACCCUUAAUCUCUGCAAAUGUUUAAUUACUCUUAAAGUCUCUUCAAUUAAGGAAAAAAAUCUGGCACGCAAGCCCAUCCCUGCAGCCCAGGCACCCUGCACAACAGUGACGAGGAGGAGGAGGAACCGGAGGGGUGCCGCGAUCUCGCUCCAGUCCGGGGGGCGUGUUCCCCAAGGUUUUCGUUUCCUUUUUACUGCAACGACAGCUGCAGCGCCACAAGGAGCACUAAGCCACACGGUCCCGGGGCCCCAAGACAUUGUGUGGGGACAGAAAGGAAAGGAGGAUCUGAGGUUUCCAAAGGUGCAGAGGGAAAGGAUCGGCGCGGGGCCGGACAGGGAUCGACCACCCGGUCUGGAAUCCAGACAAGCCGGCGGAAGUGACGCCACGACACCGGCCUGUUUCCUUGGAAACAGAGACGCCGUAUGCUCCUUUGCUCCGAGGGAGGAGUCUGGGGUUUCCUGAGGAGCUUUCCAUUCGCACCCGGAAACUGAGGCGCGUUUGGGGUUCUCCUUGGGCCAGCGCCGGGCGUGCCUAGGACAGACCUAGCCAUGGCGCCGAUCCCGUCCGACACUGUACUGCCGCCCUCCGUGAGAGGUGGGGCUGUCAACUUAGUGUGCCAGGCGGACGACCCCCUACCCCGGUCGCUGUGCCUGCACCCUGUGCUCGGCAGCCCAAAGUAUCUGGAAAGAAAGAGGUCAGCUCCGACCAGCCUCGCCCCCAAGGCUUCUCCCUAGACAGUUCCACACAGGCUCCCACGCGCCUGGCGGUCCCAGACCCACUCCUGCCUGCCGCGCCUGGCCACGGCCGGCACGGUGGUGAAAAGCUCGAUAGCGCCGUACAAUCGGAAGACCACGUGCACGCGAACAGCUGAAAUCAAAACAAUUCAAACUUGUGAGGAGGGCGUGGUGAUACUUUAAUGGACAUAGUUGGGAACAGAAUGCAAAGUGACCCAUUUAAGGGUAGGGAGAAGUGUGGAUCUGCCACACCUGUGGUAAAGUAAUUGGAAUUCAGAUUUGUAAAGGUUGUGAAUUCCUGUCUCUUUUAAUUUGUUCAAUAGAAAGUAGAUUUGAGGGCCUCUCCACUUCCCCAAGGAAACCUAAACCUGUUAAAUGCAUUAACUGGAUAAUCAAGGGCGCUUCUAGUAAUGUCAGACAUUCUUAGCAAAUUCAGUAUUUUGCUCUUCUAACUUUCCAAACUGCACCAAUAUGGUGGAGUUGGUUAUUCAAAAGGUCCCUUCUAGCUGUAAAAUGCUAUCAUUUUUUUUUUCUUGGCAUCAUGUUUUACCUUCAUUAUCUCCUUUCCUACUGUUCCUCAGAUUCCGAUUAGACUCUCACUUUGGGCUGUGUCUGUAGCACUUAAGUGACAGAAAGAAAUGCCCUCAUAUUCUACUCCUGCCAGUCUUGCAACGGAGCUAAAUUAAUGUUUCUAAAACACAUUUUAUUAUGGCGUUCUCUAGUCUUACUACAGAUUACCUACAAAGUAAGCUUUAUACCUAUAUUCAUAUUCACUAUCCUCCACAAUUUAGCCUAGAAACUGCACACUAGCGUCCUGUGACAAACUGUUUAGCAGGUAUUUGCCAACGUUGUCUUCCGCUAACUUCUAACUACUCAGUGUUUUUCUGACUUUUGGAACUACAACUUGCAGUAACAAAUUAAUUUUACAUUGUAAGCCAGUGUACACACUUAUACAUACAGAUACCCUUUCUGAAAUACAAGUUUCACAAUACUUUACUGUGUAAGAUAGUGUAAAAAGCAAAUAAUAUAAUAUGAAAACAUGUUAUGCUACAUUGUAGUGAGUAAUCUGUAAAUAAUACAGAAGCAAGCUAGGAAAUAUUUUAGUUAGUCCCAUGCUUAUAGAUUUCUUUCAGAACCUGAGGAGCUGACACAUAAACAUUUGGCCUAGUGUCGAGCCUGAUCUUUUAUUUUAUUUUUCAAUGUAUCAACGGUCAAAAUCCCAAUUUGGUAUGAUCCAUACUUAGGUAGUUAUGAAUCACAAUAAUGUGUGUCCAUGUUUUCUUAGCAAUAAGUUCAUCUGUAGUCUUCAUCUGACCUGAUAGCUAAACUUGUAUGGCACUCUUUUUUCUGUAUAAAUGAAGUAUUAGGCUCCAGUAAUUUUUUCACAAAACACUAUAUUUAAUGGAAUCAUUUAUGCUUUUUAAAUUAAAGAAAAAAAAUUUUUGAGACAGGUCUUGCUAUGUAGUUCAGGCUGGCCAUGUAACUCACUAUGUAACCCAGGCUGACCUCUCAAAUGAGUCUUAUAUACAUUUGUUAUGAAUUUAGUGUUUUAAGUUAUUUUUUGUUUUUAGUGGUUUCUUACAAUAUUUUGCACUGCUGCCGUGCUUGUGCUUGUUGAUCGUGUUUGCUCUUCCAUUGCUUGAAAUUCCAUAAUAAAUUGUAUAGUUUUCAC